rnacentral:rRNA from 1 species
AGCAGCCGCGGUAAUUCCAGCUCCAAUAGCGUAUAUUAAAGUUGUUGCAGUCAAAAAGCUCGUAGUUGAAUUUCGGGAUCAAAUUGUUGGUCGUGCCUCGGUACGCACUGGCAUUAUCGGUUCCUCCCUUCUGAAGAACCGCGAUGUCAUUAAUUUGGUGUCGUGGGGAAUCAGGACUGUUACUUUGAAAAAAUUAGAGUGUUUAAAGCAGGCUUACGCCUGAAUACAUUAGCAUGGAAUAAUGAAAUAGGACGUUUGAUUCUAUUUUGUUGGUUUCUAGGAUCGACGUAAUGAUUAAUAGGGAUAGUUGGGGGCAUUAGUAUUCAAUUGUCAGAGGUGAAAUUCUUGGAUUUACUGAAGACUAACUACUGCGAAAGCAUUUGCCAAGGAUGUUUUCAUUAAUCAAGAACGAAAGUUAGGGGAUCGAAGACGAUCAGAUACCGUCGUAGUCUUAACCAUAAACUAUGCCGACUAGGGAUCGGAUGAUGUUAAUUUUAUAAUGACUC